rnacentral:tRNA from 1 species
GCCCUCGUAGCUCAAUGGAUAGAGCAAAGCACUCCUAACGCUUAGGUUGUAGGUUCAAUUCCUAUCGAGGGUG